GAGUUUGAUCUUGGCUCAGAUUGAACGCUGGCGGCAUGCCUUACACAUGCAAGUCGAACGGUAACAGGUCUUCGGAUGCUGACGAGUGGCGAACGGGUGAGUAAUACAUCGGAACGUGCCCGAUCGUGGGGGGAUAACGGAGCGAAAGCUUUGCUAAUACCGCAUACGAUCUACGGAUGAAAGCAGGGGACCGCAAGGCCUUGCGCGGACGGAGCGGCCGAUGGCAGAUUAGGUAGUUGGUGGGAUAAAAGCUUACCAAGCCGACGAUCUGUAGCUGGUCUGAGAGGACGACCAGCCACACUGGGACUGAGACACGGCCCAGACUCCUACGGGAGGCAGCAGUGGGGAAUUUUGGACAAUGGGCGGAAGCCUGAUCCAGCCAUGCCGCGUGCAGGAUGAAGGCCUCGGUUGUAACGU
rnacentral:rRNA from 1 species